AUCGCUUCUCGGCUCUCUGAGCUAAGAUCAUGUGUAGUAUCUGUUCUUUGCAGUGUAAUUUCUGCAACGGUCUCUAAAUUGAGACCAAUGAAAUUACCUGUAUUUUUCUCGCUCGGACGGGUGCUGUGAGCUUGCUCAACCCCGUCCACGGGUCGGCCUCGUAUUGCAUUACCUCGAGGAUUGGCCCACCAAGG
rfam:Opisthorchis viverrini scaffold4102.2, whole genome shotgun sequence.